CGCUGCAUUCAAAAGUGGCCGGGAGUUCAUUGAUGGAGCUGGAAAGGUCAUCCUCCUGCACGGUGGCGUCCUCCUCUUCCUGGACAGCAUCGGCCUGGGAGCAAAGGAGAGAAAAGAAUCCCCCAACAUGUAAGGAUAUCCAGAGGCAAAUCUGAAAUCCAGAGAACAAUGGAAAUUGGGGUCAUCUGUCUUCUAGCUCCGGCAUAGUCAAUUUGUAUAACUGAACUCAAGAAUUCUCUGAAGCACUGUUCUUUAUCUUCUUUUCAGCCUUUUCUGAGAGAGUUACCAAAGAAGCUCUCAGAAGAUUACCAUAUUUGAUCCACACUUAAGGAGUAUAAAUGCUAAACAUGGAAGCGAUGCCCUGGGUCGGACCCCCACUUUCAAAGAUGAGGAAGUAGAUGCUCCACACAGGAAAGUGAAAGUGAAGUCGCUCAGUCGUGUCCGACUCUUUGAGACCCCACGGACUGCAGCCCACCAGGCUCCUCCGUCCAUGGAACUCUCCACACAGGAAAAGGUCGUGCCUAAUACCAAGAAACAGUUUGCUCCCUGGACCUGGAUGGACUGACCUGGUACCAAGGACUGUUGCUGAAUUGUACAUGUGUACUGAGAACUGGGCUAAGUGGCAAGGUAGAAUGUUACAGAAAGAUUUCAGAUAUAUCUCAGAUUGUCUCUACAAAUUAUCAUAUAUUAAGUAAGUUUAUUUAAUUGAAUAUAACUUUUUCCCCCUAAAAACAAAUCUGGGUUUUAUUUCUCUCUCCAGGAAUAAAGCAAGAGAAAUAUUACUCACCCACUGGUGAGCAAAUUUGAACCUAAACCAAACAGAUUAGUAAUCUGAAUACAAUCUAGCACAGAAUCUUAUCAUUUACAUUAGUCAUUUGAAACACAGAUGGUUCACUGAAAUAAACUUUCUGAUGAGAGCUCAGUAAAUAGCAUAAUCAUAUAAUUUCAGGGAGAGAUGUAAAUUACUAUUAAAAUUAAUGAGUUUUUCCCUCAGGUUUUAUGGGUCUAUUUUUUUUGGUUCCUAAUAAAGUAAAGCCUACCAUUCUCACAGAUCUCUGGUAUAAUAGAUGCUUAGCUUUUCAAAAGUCUGUUUUGGCUAUUCAUGGUGGAAGGCAACGGGUAAGAAUCCUGAACACAUUCUGGAUAUAAUGUGGAAAUUAUCAUUAUUCACCCCAUUUAUGAUUAUCCUUAGGACUGUUUGAUCAUACAACUCAGUAUUUGAUUUCUAUAGUUUAUAGCUCUAUCUGUACCUUUUAUCUGUAACUACUGUGAUACAUUACCACCAAAUGAUUGUUUUUUUCUUUCCUGGUAGAGAAGGCUUACUAUUGUGCUGGUAUUUUAAAACAGCUGUUUCAGGGAAAGAAUGAAAAAAAUGUGGAAGAGGCAAGAGUUCCAGGAAGAAAAAGAAAACACAGUAUUGAAGAAAUAAAGAGGGUAAAGAAAAAUGAGAUUACAAAACAGAGAAAAAGGAAUGUGACACUUACUGGGAGAAAUGUACAACUGUGAAACAAUUUCACAGAACUGAUUCUCUUGCACUGAAUCAAUGGAUGGACUGGAUGAACUGUCUCAGGCAGCAAUUCUGGAAGUCCCCCACCCUGAGCCUGGCUUGCACUGAGCUGGCAGAGAGAUAUAUCCAUGGCCAGAGAGUGCUACACCGGGCACGGAGUGCCACUGUGUUGAUCUGACCACAGUUCAGGUGAAGACCUGAAUCAGUCAGGCAUGGGAACUGGGAGUCAGGGAAGCUGUUCUCGCAGGGAUGGUAUUUGGUGUCUUGCUGGGGGAUGCAGUAAUUGCACUGGAGGCAAGGAUGUUGAAACCGUUUCCCUAGUGGUGGCAGAGGGGUUGAGAGCAACAGUAGCCUGGCCUGUGUUGGAGUCUGUGGUGAUUAAAAGUCCACCAGGCCUUGUCACAGCACAGGACUACCCCUACUGGGAGAGCUGCCUUUCAGCCUCCCUACACCCAGAUGUCAUGUUUGUAUUUUAUGUCACCUUUGGGGUCAAAAGCCAAAACUGUUUGUGUGAGAAGACUGAGAAGGUGGCUAACUGUCCUUGAUGGACAGUGUGCAUAUGUCAGUUAUCACACCUAAAGAACCACUCAGGGUUCAUACCGAGAUGAGAAAAUAUUCACAAUGGAACACUCUAGAAGUGUUGGAAGUAAUAUUCAUUGAUACUGGAAUACCAAAAAAAGAAUUAUUGUUGAAGGAACUUAGAAGUCAAAACAUGUUCCCCCAAAUGACCCUACUCAGACUUAAGCCUAUAAGACAUGGAUCUAGUGUGCUCAUAGGUCACUUUGUCCAGGAUAACACUGGCUUAUGCCUGUUGUCUGGGUGUAAUUAUUACCAGACUCCUUUUUAGUUGCAAAAGGGUCCUCACUUGGAUAGUCACUUACCCUACAAAGAUAGCUCUUAAUUCCUAGAAAAUAAAAGCAGUUGAUUGGAAGUGGGUGUGGUGUAUUGUUUAGAUAAAGCUUGUUGAUUUCACUUUUAAUAAAAUAAUUAAACCACAAAACCAAACCAUUCCAGUUGUACAGCUGCCUAAUGAGAAACUAUAGGAUUUCUAUGGAUUAUACUUAAAAACUCACCUUCCCUCAAGAGAGAAAAUUAUGCAACUUCCAGAACUAGACAUAUAAAGAUUUUAAAACUACAUUUUAAAAUGUAUUUAUACUUUCAGAAAAUAUUUUCUCCCUAGAGCAACCAAGAAAAAUACUUCUAUCACACACAUCUCAAUAUAAAUGUACAAAUAGGCAUACAUACUCUCCAAGGGGAGAAAAAGCAAUUAUGUUGUUAUAAAUCUGCAAUGAUGCAAAACACCUACUAGCAUAUCUGAAUUGAAAAUAGCAUCAUCUUACCUGAAGUUCCUGGGUAGCAGAUUGAAUGGACAGAAAAACAAAUAAGAGGACUAUUUAAAAUGAUUAUAUUACAGAUACUCAAGUGCAUUUGUCUUAGUUUUAACACAACAGCAACUAACAGUGCUAACAGUAUAUACUUCAGUAGAGGCACCUUAAAAAAAAGGCAAAGAUACACAAACCCCAAAGAGAAGAAUUAGUACCAAACACCGGAAAUUCCAGAUCUCUUAGCAGUGGAUGAUGUAGCUGAAAACAAAUCAUAAAUACAAUUUCCGAAAUAGCUUUCCACUUCAGUGACAACUUUGGUCUGUCUCCUCAACACUUUUUUUUUGGAAUGUCUAAAUUUUUAUUUGUGAGAAAACUGUGAAAUGUCAUGGAAAGACUAAUGAGGGUCAUCUGCUGGGGGAAAAAACGUGGCAUCACCUGAUCCUGCCCACAAAAGCAGAAGUGUUUGUGAUCAGGCUCUGUUUCACUGCUGAGGUGCAAUUAACAGCAAAGACAUAGCACCCUUUAAGGAUUCUGAAGAGUUCAAAGGCAAACUGUUAAAGAUUUAGUCAAUACAUUGAUACUAACGAAAGGGAAUAAACAUGACAAAAACCU